rnacentral:lncRNA from 1 species
CCGCACAGACGACCCGCUGGACGUCGGAUCGGCACGUUCCCACGUCCGGGCGACGUCGCGUGGUCCAGCCUCCAGCGUCCAGGAGCGGCGGGCGCGUUUCACGGUCACACCCAUGGAGUGGCUGUGACGCGGUUACAGGUGCCGGCGAGGGUGACCUCGGCUGCAAGUUCACGACUCCAAAGUUCCUCGUUUCACUCCAUCCUCCGUCCUGGCGCGGAUGGAUAUAAAGCCUUUCGCCACCCCCUCACGGCACAGUACGUCUAUCGUUUUCAAGUUCGCACUUUGUAGACAGGCAGACGACUCCCGCUUCAACAUGUCCUUCAAAUCUGUUGCCGUUUUCUUCGUGCUGGCCAUCGCCGUUGCCGCAGCCUACGUCCUGCCGAUCGUCCCGACCAGCGUCGUCUCCCACGAGGGCAUCGUCCAGGCUCACUCACCCUGGGCCUGGAGCUCCUCCUCCCGCAUCCAGUCCCACAACCCCAUCCUCCCCAUCCUCCACCCCAUCUACUACUAGAUCCUCCACCACGUUCAUGAAGCUUCCAGCACCAUGCCCGGAAACCAAUUUAUGUGUGUUUCGUAAGAUCUCAUAACCCCCCCCCCCCCAAUUUUUGUCAGUUUGGCGCUUUUUUGGUAUGCUGCAGUGAAGUUCCGUCCACUUCGACUGAAGAAAUCAAGGAAUGACGUCAUUUUGGACCCAGUGCGAAGGAUUUCAGAAGUUUCAGCAAUGGAAUAUUUCUAAAUUUCACAUCAAUCUGAAUGAGUGAAGAUCUAUAUUUUUCUCUCACUUUCUACCGGUUGAAAAAUUUGCGAAGAAAAGUACAAAAAAAGAAAAAAAUCCCCGAUAAAAUGCUGUUAAUAUUUUUUUUAUUAUUAAGUUGAAGUGUAUAAAUUGUAAAAAAGAUUUGUAAUAAAAGUUCUUUUGAGUGAGUUUCACUACUCCAAAACUAUUAUGCGUUAAGAUCAUUUUAAUUGACACUCCUUGGAAAAUUGACAGUCUUAAUUGGGACGAGAUACUCAUAUCCAGUUCGGCUUAUACUAAUCUCGUUACAGAGAAUGAAUUUUGUUCUUGCAACUGAAAAUCCGAUAAAACUGCAUCAAGAACAGCAAAGGCUUAAGUGGGACUGAAAAUAUCCAUAGCUAUGCUUAAAACUCUUUUUUUUUCAAUUUACAAACGUCCAUCAUAAUUUCCUUUAACUUUUCAUUUUCAUUUUUACUUUUAUUAAGCCGUUUUCUUUCUCCUUUUUUAAAGAAAAUGAUGAAAAACACAAGAGGAUAUAUGUCAGAUACCUAUCAAAUUUAAAAGCAUAUUGCUAAACCAUUAAAAAGAAAUUUUGUUAUUUGGUUCAGUGCUGAAAUUUUAGCAUUUUAAAGCUUCAAAAUUUGCUUCACUUGCAUUUUUAUCUAGACUGGCAAAUGGGGAUUUUUCUCUGAUUUUUCAGAGGGAAGCGAGUGAGUAUAGGUACUCAUUAGAUAAUCAAGUUAUAAUAUUAUGCAUUUAAAAUUAAAAGGAUAUUAAAAUAAGCAGUAAAAGAGGAAUUUUUAAGGUAAAAAACUAGAGCAAGUUUUCACCUCUCGCAGGAAUUUACCAAUCAAUGAUAUAAUCAUACUUCGUCACUAGAAAAUUUGGUGUUAUUCAGAAACCUAGGCUCGGCCAAAAAUAAAUAAAUACAAUAAAAGUCUGAUACUCGGCUCUUAUUGGCUAACUUGUUUUCUGGAUGUGUAUGAUUACUACGCAAUGUUUCUUAGGCCGAGGUUUUUCACAAGCCUGAAAUUGAGUCACCCUCUUCGAUUUUACAAACCAAGUCUAGAUCAUUUUCUUACACAUAGAAAAAAAAGCCAUAGGCUCCGAAGCUAGUUUUUGUGCCAGGAAAUGCUGAAAGAUUAGAAAAAAGUUUAGUUAUAAAAAAGAAACAAAGUCAAUUACAUAAGACUGUGCGAGUUAUAUAAAUGAAAUUAUGAUUUUUUUUUCGAUGAAACUUAUCUCAACGGUUUAACUCUGAAAACAAGUAUUUCAAAAGGUGCUGUUGCUUUUCUCUUGCAUACGUAUCUUUCUUUAAAAAAAAAAAAAAAGUUAAAAAAUAGGAUAAAAAUAGAAUAGACAUAGAAUAUUUUGUUGAAUACUAUGUAAACAUAAUUAGAAUAUUCUUUGAUUUUUGUCCCUUUGACUAGGUUCUUCCAUACCAAAUGUUUACCAUGAUAUUCGAUGGUUUUCCGCCAAAAAAAGUAAAAAAAUAAACGUAAUAUCAACGG